ensembl:lncRNA
UUCUGCUGAAACUCUUUCGUGAGACCAAAUCCAAGGAGGGGAGACAGAUCUUAAUAAAAAAAACUGCAUUGCGCUAAAGGUUCUGACUCCACAUCUCCCCGUAACUUACCGCCUUUUUUAUGGGCCUCUUGUCGUCUUUUGCCGAUUCUUCCUCGAAUGCAUUCUUUGCACAUUCCAUCCGGGGUAAAGAGAAGGGAAUUGAGCAAGGAAAAAGUCUGAGGGUUUAUAACCUUUUGAUGUAACUGGAACACACAUUUUCGGUGCGCUUUUCUUUUGUUAAUUUAACAUGUUUAGUACUGUAUCGCAUGUUAACGUGGCAGUUCUCAUAGAGCGGCCACCGCCGUGUCUAACGGGGCCAUCAUCCUUUUGAGGUAAAUCUAUCUUUGACCAAAAACUCGUUUUAGUUUCGUCGUGCUUUCCCAAGACCAGUACGUGAAGGCCUUUCGCAGGGCGUGAUGCAAUCAUCAACGGCUUUAAACAACGGCAGUUGUCUUUUAAUUCCCCAUUCGUUUGAAACCCAUGCAGUCAGGACGUGCUCGAGCAGUCACGCUGGUCUGGCCUUGUGUGCUUCUUGUUGUGUAUCUUCUUUUUUAUUUUUUAUUUGUAGUUUGAUUGCACGAUGAGAUUUGAGAGCUCCGAGCCAUUUUGUCUGACCUCUGACCUUCCAUAUCUAAUCCAUUAACUCACUCGAUAACGUUUAAGAUUGUGAUAGAGAUUCUUCUUAAAACCUGCAUACAUUGAAUACUCUUCCUCCUGCAUAAUAGUACAGAAUUAUUAGUCAAUAUAAUAUAUAUUGGGAUGAAGUUGCCUUAGACUUUCUUUUUUGUGUGUGCUGCAACUACUCUCAGGAAAUCUUGAGCAAUGCACUAAGUGAUUUAUACAAAAAAUGUAAACGGGAAGCAAGUGUUUGGUGCUGUCGGGUGAUUGGCGCUCUUCAUGCGAGAGUAAGGCCGGUAGUUUAAAUAUCUGAAUUGGAAAUGGUUUAUAUAUUAAUAUAUAGUGUUUGCACAUCCAAGAAAUUUGACUUUGACAAUAAACUAGGUAAAAUAGUAAAAAUUACAUCAAUAAUAUGAAAAUGUUCAAAUAUGAAAAACAAAGUUAUAACUAAGUUGAAAUAUGUCUCAAAGUUUCUGUGAUUCUUGUAUUUGCACAUGAAUGAAAAAUUAGCGAUUUUUUUAGAUCUGAUACGGUUUAACCGUUGAGAACCAAAUGAAUUAACCCUAUCUAGGGAAAUAAUGGGCCUGUCCUUAAACUACUGGUCUUACUGGAACCAGUCCUGCUGGAUUGGCAGUGUGACGCUCGCUCUUCUCGCUCAUGAAGGGCGUUUGUGCUCCUGGUCGGAGCUUUGUGGAUGAAUGAGGGUUAGCGGAUGCCAGCUGUGAAGUUUGUGUUUCUAUGUGAGCGGUUUGUUUUCUUGGCUUUGGUGACGGGGUGCGGGGUCCAGUCUGCGUAGAGACCCCACUUUCAGGGAUACAUAAUUGUCUUUCCGUUUUUAGUGGAAC